AUGUGGAUAGCUCAGUUGGUUACAGCAUGGUGCUGGUAACACCAAGGUUGCAGGUUCGAUCCGCAGGGUCCCUUCCAACUCUACAGU